UACGGAGGGGGCUAGCGUUGUUCGGAAUUACUGGGCGUAAAGCGCACGUAGGCGGCUUUGUAAGUUAGAGGUGAAAGCCCAGGGCUUAACCCUGGAAUUGCCUUUAAGACUGCAUCGCUAGAAUCGUGGAGAGGUGAGUGGAAUUCCGAGUGUAGAGGUGAAAUGCGUAGAUAUUGGGAGGAACACCAGUGGCGAAGGGCGGCUCACUGGACCGGUUCUGACGCUGAAGCGGCGAAAGCGUGGGGAGCAAACGGG
rnacentral:rRNA from 1 species